rnacentral:rRNA from 1 species
GUAGGGAAUCUUGCGCAAUGCGCGAAAGCGUGACGCAGCAACGCCGCGUGGGGGAAGAAGGCUUUCGGGUUGUAAACCCCUUUCAGUUGGGACGAAGCUCCGUCGGUUAAUAGCCGCCUGGAGUGACGGUACCUUCACAAGAAGCACCGGCUAACUACGUGCCAGCAGCCGCGGUAAUACGUAGGGUGCAAGCGUUGUCCGGAAUCAUUGGGCGUAAAGAGCGUGUAGGCGGCCCGAUCAGUCCGCUGUAAAAGUCCAGGGCUCAACCCUGGAAGGCCGGUGGAUACUGUCGGGCUAGAGUCCGGAAGAGGCGAGUGGAAUUCCUGGUGUAGCGGUGAAAUGCGCAGAUAUCAGGAGGAACACCAAUGGCGAAGGCAGCUCGCUGGGACGGUACUGACGCUGAGACGCGAAAGCGUGGGGAGCAAACAGGAUUAGAUACCCUGGUAGUCC